AUGGAUAUUAGAGUAAGCAAAUAUGCCUAUAAGCUGUUUAGUGUCCAACAAAAUGCGUUUAUUAAGGGGAGACACAUUGUUGAUGGUAUUCUCUCCUUACAAGAAGUAUUGCAUUAUACUCAUAUCAAAAAGCAAGUGGGUGUGGUCCUUAAACUUGACUUUAAAAAGGCCUACGACAAAGUAAAUUGGGAUUUUUUGCUUGACUGUCAUAAGAAGCGUGGGUUUAAUUCUAAGUGGUGCGGAUGGGUUUCUCAAAUCCUUAAGAACGACACGGUGAGUGUCAAGAUUAAUGAUGAGAUCGGCCCAUAUAUACAAAGUGCUAAGGGGGUACGGUAGGGUGACCCUCAUUCCCCCUUUCUAUUCAACAUGGCGGCUGAAUGCCUGACCAAAAUGGUGCUCUCAGCACAAAAAACGGCCUCAUCAAGGGUUUAG
rnacentral:rRNA from 1 species